rnacentral:rRNA from 1 species
UAACGCGUUAAGUAGACCGCCUGGGGAGUACGGCCGCAAGGUUAAAACUCAAAUGAAUUGACGGGGGCCCGCACAAGCGGUGGAGCAUGUGGUUUAAUUCGAUGCAACGCGAAGAACCUUACCUGGUCUUGACAUCCACAGAACUUUCCAGAGAUGGAUUGGUGCCUUCGGGAACUGUGAGACAGGUGCUGCAUGGCUGUCGUCAGCUCGUGUUGUGAAAUGUUGGGUUAAGUCCCGCAACGAGCGCAACCCUUAUCCUUUGUUGCCAGCGAUUAGGUCGGGAACUCAAAGGAGACUGCCAGUGAUAAACUGGAGGAAGGUGGGGAUGACGUCAAGUCAUCAUGGCCCUUACGACCAGGGCUACACACGUGCUACAAUGGCGCAUACAAAGAGAAGCGACCUCGCGAGAGCAAGCGGACCUCAUAAAGUGCGUCGUAGUCCGGAUUGGAGUCUGCAACUCGACUCCAUGAAGUCGGAAUCGCUAGUAAUCGUGGAUCAGAAUGCCACGGUGAAUACGUUCCCGGGCCUUGUACACACCGCCCGUCACACCAUGGGAGUGGGUUGCAAAAGAAGUAGGUAGCUUAACCUUCGGGAGGGCGCUUACCACUUUGUGAUUCAUGACUGGGGUGAAGUCGUAACAAGGUAACCGUAGGGGAACCUGCGGUUGGAUCACCUCCUUACCUUAAAGAAGC